rnacentral:rRNA from 1 species
CCUACCGGUGGCAGCAGUGAGGAAUAUUGGUCAAUGGCCGAGAGGCUGAACCAGCCAAGUCGCGUGAGGGAAGACGGCCCUACGGGUUGUAAACCUCUUUUGUCGGGGAGCAAAGCGAACCACGUGUGGUUCAUUGAGAGUACCCGAAGAAAAAGCAUAGGCUAACUCCGUGCCAGCAGCCGCGGUAAUACGGAGGAUGCGAGCGUUAUCCGGAUUUAUUGGGUUUAAGGGGUGCGCAGGCGGAGGUGCAAGUCAGCGGUCAAAUUGCGGGGCUCAACCCCGUACUGCCGUUGAAACUGCAUCCCUUGAGUGCGCGAGAAGUAUGCGGAAUGCGUGGUGUAGCGGUGAAAUGCAUAGAUAUCACGCAGAACCCCGAUUGCGAAGGCAGCAUACCGGUGCACAACUGACGCUCAGGCACGAAAGCGUGGGUAUCGAACAGGAUUAGAUACCCUUGUAGUC